rnacentral:snoRNA from 1 species
AAGGCUGUACUUUCAGGGAUCACUUCUACAGUGUGUUACUCGAGAAGUUUCUCUGAUUGUGCAGAGCACCAGAAACAUGAGGCAGAGGCGUAGCGCUCCUUCCUGAGCAGGAAGCCAGCCCUUGGUGCUACUGUGCUGUAGCUGCCGCUUGCCACAGAUGAUGGUUCUUGCUUUCUCCUUGGAGGGAGCAGGAGGGAAGGAAUGCAGUCUGAGUGGU